rnacentral:rRNA from 1 species
GAUGAACGCUGGCGGCGUGCCUAAUACAUGCAAGUCGAGCGAACAGACGAGGAGCUUGCUCCCCUGACGUUAGCGGCGGACGGGUGAGUAACACGUGGAUAACCUACCUAUAAGACUGGGAUAACUUCGGGAAACCGGAGCUACUACCGGAUAAUAUAUUGAACUGCAUGGUUCCAUAGUGAAAGACGGUUUUGCUGUCACUUAUAGAUGGAUCCGCGCCGCAUUAGUUAGUUGGUAAGGUAACGGCUUACCAAGGCAACGAUGCGUAGCCGACCUGAGAGGGUGAUCGGCCACACGGGAACUGAGACACGGUCCAGACUCCGACGGGAGGCAGCAGUAGAGAAUCUUCCGCAAUGGGCGAAAGCCUGACGGAGCAACGCCGCGUGAGUGAUGAAGGUCUUCGGAUCGUAAAACUCUGUUAUUAGGGAAGAACAAAUGUGUAAGUAACUAUGCACGUCUUGACGGUACCGAAUCAGAAAGCCACGGCUAACUACGUG